CCUACGGGUGGCAGCAGUGGGGGAUAUUGCACAAUGGGGGGAACUCUGAUGCAGCGACGUCGCGUGGGUGAAGAAGCGCCUCGGCGCGUAAAGCCCUGUCAGCAGGGAAGAAAAUGACGGUACCUGAAGAAGAAGCUCCGGCUAACUACGGGCCAGCAGCCGCGGUAAUACGUAGGGGGCAAGCGUUAUCCGGAUUUACUGGGUGUAAAGGGGGCGCAGACGGGGAUGCAAGCCAGGAGGGAAAGCCCGGGGGCCAAACCCGGGACUGCUCUUGGAACUGGGUGGCUGGAGGGCAGGAGGGGGAGGCGGAAUUCCGGGUGUAGCGGUGAAAUGGGUAGAUAUCAGG
rnacentral:rRNA from 1 species